GAAUGAAAGUGCUUAACUGCAUUUUUUUACACAUGUGUUUUUCUUUUUUUGAAAACUUUGCUUUGGUGGGCCCACGGCCUGCCAGAGAUUAAACUCAACCAAAUUUUAUUUAAAGUCAACUGAUUAACUAAUAGUCAAAACUUUCAACAACGGAUCUCUUGGUUCU
rnacentral:misc_RNA from 1 species